AGCGAACGCUGGCGGCAGGCCUAACACAUGCAAGUCGAACGAACCUUUCGGGGUUAGUGGCGGACGGGUGAGUAACACGUGGGAACGUGCCUUUAGGUUCGGAAUAACUCAGGGAAACUUGUGCUAAUACCGAAUGUGCCCUUCGGGGGAAAGAUUUAUCGCCUUUAGAGCGGCCCGCGUCUGAUUAGCUAGUUGGUUGAGGUAAUGGCUCACCAAGGCGACGAUCAGUAGCUGGUCUGAGAGGAUGAUCAGCCACAUUGGGACUGAGACACGGCCCAAACUCCUACGGGAGGCAGCAGUGGGGAAUCUUGCGCAAUGGGCGAAAGCAUGACGCAGCCAUGCCGCGUGAAUGAUGAAGGUCUGAGGAUUGUAAAAUUCUUUCACCGGGGACGAUAAUGACGGUACCCGGAGAAGAAGCCCCGGCUAACUUCGUG
rnacentral:rRNA from 1 species